UAAUCUUGUAUUUCUCUCUUUCUGUUUUAUAGAUGAAAAUCUGCAGUUUUUGCUUUUUGAUUUGAGUUUCUGCAACUGCGCCACUGCUUUGUUUGCUGUUCACUCUUCAUUGUCAAAAUUACUUCGCCGGGCUGAUUUUUUUGUUCGAAUCACCUUGGGUGCGACCGCAGCGACUUUUUUGAUGAGAUUAUGCCAAGUCACGCUGUGGAAUAGUGUGUAGGGAAAUUUCGUGUUUUUCAGCUUUUACAUGGCACUAAAGGACAAGAGCUAGUCUAUAGAUGAUAGUAGAUCAAAA